rnacentral:lncRNA from 1 species
CCUCCGAAAAUUCGUCAUUUUCCCAGAUCUCGGUAUUAUUGAUGCUAUGAGUCGCUACGUUGCUGGAGGUGCGCGGCGAUCUGUUUCUCUAUUCCCCAUCUUGUUUGUUUCUCUCGAUCUAUUGAGUGUGGUGUUGAUGGUUGAGGUGAAGAUGGUGGAUUUGUGAUGACGAUGUUGUUGGUAGCACGCGAUGGUGGAGGUUGCGGGUAUGGUGAUUUUUUGGUGGGUGUAUGGUUUGUAGUGAGAUGGUUAAGUGUGGUGAUGGUGAGGUGGUGCUACCGAUGGCAACGAAGGCAGACAGCUAGAGAGAAGAUGGAAGGUGGAUGGAGAGAGAAGAGAGAGAAUGGAGAUGAUGAAAUUAAUUAGUGUUCGUGUGUGUGGUUGGGUAGGAUGAAUAUGUAUAUUUAAUUUUGUAAUAUAAUUAUUAAUAUUUAAAAUUUUAAUUAUUAUCUAAUUUUUGAAACAAAAACUUGUAAAUUCUAAUUUUGAAAUGAGAAUUUUAAAAUUUUGGUGGAUUGUAAUUUCCACUUAUAAAAUUUUCAACUUUUAGGCUAAUAAAUUGUAAGGGCAAAAAAAUUGCUUGC